GACGAACGCUGGCGGCGUGCUUAACACAUGCAAGUCGAACGGAAAGGCCCUGCUUUUGUGGGGUGCUCGAGUGGCGAACGGGUGAGUAACACGUGAGUAACCUGCCCUUGACUUUGGGAUAACUUCAGGAAACUGGGGCUAAUACCGGAUAGGAGCUCCUGCUGCAUGGUGGGGGUUGGAAAGUUUCGGCGGUUGGGGAUGGACUCGCGGCUUAUCAGCUUGUUGGUGGGGUAGUGGCUUACCAAGGCUUUGACGGGUAGCCGGCCUGAGAGGGUGACCGGCCACAUUGGGACUGAGAUACGGCCCAGACUCCUACGGGAGGCAGCAGUGGGGAAUAUUGCACAGUGGGCGGAAGCCUGAUGCAGCAACGCCGCGUGCGGGAUGACGGCCUUCGGGUUGUAAACCGCUUUCGCCAGUGACGAAGCGUGAGUGACGGUAAUGGGUAAAGAAGCACCGGCUAACUACGUG
rnacentral:rRNA from 1 species